UUACUUACCAGGCAGAGGAGAUGAUCACAAAGGUGGUCCACCCAGGGUAAAGUUUAGCUUGUUGCACUGUGACCAUGCUGACCCCUGUAAAUUCUCCAAAUGCAAGAACGUAGACUGCAUAAUCUCUGGUGGAGGGAGACUGUGUUCGUGCUCAGCUCGUA
ensembl:snRNA U1 U1 spliceosomal RNA